rnacentral:lncRNA from 1 species
UGAAGGAAACAAUGUAUAAACAGUUCCUUCCAAUUGCAAAAAAAUGUAAAAUUUACAUAUGUCUGGCUUGUACUGAAUGGUGAAAUUAAGUCAGAAAAACAAGCUGGUAUACAUUCUUAAAGUUCAGUACCGCCUCUACUUUUGAAUGUUUUGCCAUUCAGGAAGACAUUGGUAACUAUAAUAAUUAGUCAACAGAGAAAAAUCCACAUUGUGCGUACAGGGCUUUCUUCUAACAUUCAGCAACUCCAAUAUUUACAUUUCUGUUUUUUAUUUGCACCUUUUCUUCACAUAGGCCCUAGUCCCCUGGACCCUCAUGGACCCAGCAGGCAGAUGUCUGGAUCUUCAGUUUUACCCAGGGAGUCCAAACCUGGGCAUACAGAAUGAUGAACGACUUUGAGCACUCCUCGCUCAGCAAUGCUGUUCUCUCUGCCUCUACACCCAUUAGCUCCACAGCUUCUCAGCUGGUUCCUGGUUUUUAAGCCUGUACCUGGUUGUCUGUGUUCCAGAUCAGUUAGAUCACAAUGGAGUCCUUAAGCAAUUUAUGUGCAUGAAUGGAUAUCUGAUACUAAUGUGGACACCCAAUCAUACCUAGAGAUUGUGUUACUGCUAAAACUCCCAAGAUUCUGAAAAGUCAGAAAUUUUAGGGGGCCUUUAGGUGUGAAAGGGGCUGCAAACCACUGUCUGGACCAAAGGACCAGAGUUUGGUCCGACCAAGAGAUGUGGUCUCGGUCCGGAUCUACUGAACUAUGCUCUGGUUCGCCUGCAGUGUGAAAGCACUUUUCUAGAUGGUUCAGACUUUCAGACCAAUUAAAGAAAGCAGAGGCAGCCCUUUAAACAAACUAGAGGAGGAAAGGAUUGGUGCUGAACUGAAAUCUGACUCCCCUUGGCGUGCAGGCGCAUCACCAUUAUAGGAC